AUUGAACGCUGGCGGCAGGCCUAACACAUGCAAGUCGAACGAGUGGCGGACGUGUGAGUAAUGUCUGGGAAACUGCCCGAUGGAGGGGGAUAACUACUGGCAACGGUAGCUAAUACCGCAUACCAUCGGAUGUGCCCAGAUGGGAUUAGCUAGUAGGUGGGGUAACGGCUUAAGUCGGCGACGGUCCCUACCUGGUCUGAGAGGAUGACCAGCCACACUGGAACUGAGACACGGUACAGACUCCAACGUGAGGCAGCAGUGGGGAGUAUUGUACAAAGGGCGCAAGCCUGAUGCAGCCAGGCCGCGUGGAUGAAGAAGGCCUUCGGGUUGUAAAGUACUUUAAGCGAGGAGGCGUUACUAGCAGAAGAGGCACCGGCUAACUCCGUGCCAGCAGCCGCGGUAAUAC
rnacentral:rRNA from 1 species